CACCUCCACCGCGGAUCCGUCGCCACCGCCGCUCGCCGCUCUCUCUCUCUCUCUUGUAGGUCCGCCUCGGCGCCGUCUAGGCCCGGCCGCGCCGCGCUCUGGGAGGACGCCGAGGAAGCCAUCCCGGUCCCGGUGGUCGUGAAGAAGCUCCCCUCUCCCUCUUCGUCGAGCCCGUCGCCCCUCAACGCAUCUCUCGACUGUGUCGCUCGGCCGAAAAGUGGCGAGAGACGCGUCCCUCAACCGAGGGACGCGCUCCAUCAUAGGGAGUCGGUACAGAUGGAAAAGCGGACGUUCGUCGGUGAGCGAACGACAGAGACGCAUUGA
rnacentral:lncRNA from 1 species